GUCUUCUUGAAUUUAUUAGAAGUCGUGCCUGCCCACUGAAUUUAACUUGAAGGGCCGCGGUAUUUUGACCGUGCAAAGGUAGCAUAAUCAUUAGUCUUUUAAUUGGGGACUGGGAUGAAUGGUUUGACGAAAUAAUGACUGUCUGUUAAGUAUUUUUUGAAGUUUACUUUUAAGUUAAAAGGCUUAAAUGUUAGUAAGGGACGAGAAGACCCUAUAGAUCUUUAUUUAUGGAUCAAUGAUUGCUUAUUAGAUGUAUUACUAAUUAUGGGUUGAUGAAUUUUAUUGGGGUGAUAUGAGAACGGAAAUAACUUCUUAUUAUUUAAACUUUGAUGUUUGGGUAUGGUGAUCCUUUAUUAUGGAUUUAAGAUUAAGAUACCUUAGGGAUAACAGCGUAAUUUUAUUUGAGAGUUCUUAUCGACAAUAAAGAUUGCGACCUCGAUGUUGGAUUAAGAUUAUAGGUUGGUGUAGAAGCUAAUACUUAUUAGUCUGUUCGACUAUUAAAAUCUUACA
rnacentral:rRNA from 1 species